UUGUGGGAAAGAUUCUAUCGGCGUGGGAUGGGGUCGCGUCCUAUCAGCUUGUUGGUGAGGUAACGGCUCACCAAGGCUUCGACGGGUAGCCGGCCUGAGAGGGCGACCGGCCACAUUGGGACUGAGAUACGGCCCAGACUCCUACGGGAGGCAGCAGUGGGGAAUAUUGCACAAUGGGCGCAAGCCUGAUGCAGCGACGCCGCGUGAGGGAUGGAGGCCUUCGGGUUGUAAACCUCUUUUGUUUGGGAGCAAGCCUUCGGGUGAGUGUACCUUUCGAAUAAGCGCCGGCUAACUACGUGCCAGCAGCCGCGGUAAUACGUAGGGCGCAAGCGUUAUCCGGAUUUAUUGGGCGUAAAGGGCUCGUAGGCGGCUCGUCGCGUCCGGUGUGAAAGUCCAUCGCUUAACGGUGGAUCUGCGCCGGGUACGGGCGGGCUG
rnacentral:rRNA from 1 species